rnacentral:rRNA from 1 species
UACGUAGGGUGCAAGCGUUAAUCGGAAUUACUGGGCGUAAAGCGUGCGCAGGCGGUUUUGUAAGUCUGUCGUGAAAUCCCCGGGCUUAACCUGGGAACUGCAUUUGUGACUGCACGGCUAGAGUGUGUCAGAGGGGGGUAGAAUUCCACGUGUAGCAGUGAAAUGCGUAGAUAUGUGGAGGAAUAUCGAUGGCGAAGGCAGCCCCCUGGGAUAACACUGACGCUCAUGCACGAAAGCGUGGGGAGCAAACAGG